GCUGCCAGUGAGAAGAUGCCCAUUGUGGGUCCAUGUGCUGGUGCUGAUUACCUGUGGUAACGGUGAUGCAAGUGCAGUGCUCUGAAGCUUUUGACCAGUCGGUGGAAGUUCAAGUGUUUACAUGGGU